UACGGAGGAUGCGAGCGUUAUCCGGAUUUAUUGGGUUUAAAGGGUGCGUAGGCGGCAUGGUAAGUCAGCGGUCAAAUCGAGGGGCUCAACCCCUUUCCGCCGUUGAAACUGCCGUGCUUGAGUGGGCGAGAAGUAUGCGGAAUGCGUGGUGUAGCGGUGAAAUGCAUAGAUAUCACGCAGAACUCCGAUUGCGAAGGCAGCAUACCGGCGCCCGACUGACGCUGAGGCACGAAAGCGUGGGGAUCGAACAGG
rnacentral:rRNA from 1 species